UGGGGAAUAUUGGACAAUGGGCGCAAGCCUGAUCCAGCAAUGCCGCGUGUGUGAAGAAGGCCUUCGGGUUGUAAAGCACUUUUAUCAGGAGCGAAACGCUGUCGGCUAAUACCCGGCGGAACUGACGGUACCUGAGGAAUAAGCACCGGCUAACUUCGUGCCAGCAGCCGCGGUAAUACGAAGGGUGCAAGCGUUAAUCGGAAUUACUGGGCGUAAAGCGUGCGUAGGCGGUUUCUUAAGUCUGCUGUGAAAUCCCCGGGCUCAACCUGGGAAUGGCAGUGGAUACUGGGAGGCUAGAGUGUGUCAGAGGGUGGUGGAAUUCCCGGUGUAGCGGUGAAAUGCGUAGAGAUCGGGAGGAACAUCAGUGGCGAAGGCGGCCACCUGGGACAACACUGACGCUGAGGCACGAAAGCGUGGGGAGCAAACAGGAUUAGAUACCCUGGUAGUCCACGCCCUAAAGCGAUGCGAACUGGAUGUUGGUCUCAACUCGGAGAUCAGUGUCGAAGCUAACGCGUUAAGUU
rnacentral:rRNA from 1 species